CCAGUGUCCGGCUGUUGCACGUUAGGCAGGUCGCUCCCCAUGCACAUCUGCAUCAGAACCGAAGGAAAAGGAAGUGAGGUCUCCCAGGAAGCGACGAAGCCCAGGGCUGCCGACUGGAUGGUGACAAUGAAGAAUAUGAAGACAUCUCCAGCAAAAUUCUCGCUCAGGGAUCGUGCGUUGUCAUGCCAGUCAUAAACUCUGACAUAAACCCGGGAGCCUGGCAUUAUUCCUGCGAGAUAAAGAUCAGCGGCUCAACCCACUCCAGAUUCCAGCUGGCGGGCGGGCCGGCGCUUGGCUCCAGGCAGUGGGCGUGGAGCCGGCACAGCGGACACAGUCGGGAAGCUCCAGGCCGACGUUUUGCAAGCAUAUCUUUCUGGGAACAGAGUCCACGGUCCCGGGAGGAUCUCUGGCGAGCUCGCUGCCUUGUUUCCGUGCGAGGCACCGACGGCUGGGCGGGUUGUGGUUUCAUGGCUCCAAUGUUUGUGUUGGAAGCGUGAACUGUGCACAGGUGUUUCAGGUAGAACCAAAUCCCCUUCCUCUUUCCUGAGGGUGACUUCCAACAACUCCCACAGGGCUGUUAACCGUCGAAUUUCAGAGAGACUCGCAACGCUGUUCUCCUCUAUCCCCUCCUCUCCUCCACCCCGGGGACUCCAGUUAGCUCUGCAGGC